rnacentral:rRNA from 1 species
UAAGGCGAGGCCGACAGGCGUAGUCGAUGGAUGACGGGUUGAUAUUCCCGUACCCGUGUGCGUGCGACAAGUGAUGAAUCUUAUGGUACUAACCGCCCGCCUACGUGCACCGGUCUUUUUGGUUGGUGUGUGUGGGUGCGUGGGAUCUUCGUGGGUAGUAGUCAAGUGAUGGGGUGACGCAGAGUGGUAGCUAGGCUUCCUUAUUGGAUUGGAGUGCAAGCGUGUGGCCUGUGGGGUUGGGAAAUCCGCCCCACAUAUCAGGUGAGGCGUGAUGCGGACACCAUGUUGUGGUGGUAGUUAGUGUGCCUGUGCUGUCUAGAAAAGCCUCUAGCGAGUGCGUGCAUGGCCCGUACCGGAAACCGACACAGGUGGUCAGGUAGAGAAUACUAAGGCGUUCGGGUGAACUGUGGUUAAGGAACUCGGCAAAAUGCCCCCGUAACUUCGGGAGAAGGGGGACCAUUACUAGUUGCUGACAGCAAGAUGGCUGGUGGUGGUCGCAGAGGAGAGAGGGAAGCGACUGUUUAUUAAAAACACAGGUCCGUGCGAAAACGUGGAAGUUGAGGUAUACGGACUGACGCCUGCCCGGUGCUGGAAGGUUAAGAGGACCCGUGAGCAUACCUAUGGUGUGCGAGGCGGAGAAUUGAAGCCCCAGUAAACGGCGGUGGUAACUAUAACCAUCCUAAGGUAGCGAAAUUCCUUGUCGGGUAAGUUCCGACCUGCACGAAUGGCGUAACGACUUCCCUGCUGUCUCAACCACAGGCCCGGUGAAAUUGCAGUACGAGUAAAGAUGCUCGUUUCGCGCGGCAGGACGAAAAGACCCCGGGACCUUUACUAUAGCUUGGUAUUGGUGUUUGGUCAUGCUUGUGUAGGAUAGGUGGGAGACUGUGAAGCCGCAACGCUAGUUGUGGUGGAGUCGUCAAGUGAAAUACCACUCUGGUGUGAUUGGGUACCUGAACCUUGGCCCGUGAUCCGGGUUGGGGACAGUGCCUGGUGGGUAGUUUAACUGGGGCGGUUGCCUCCUAAAUGGUAACGGAGGCGCCCAAAGGUUUCCUCAGUCUGGUUGGCAAUCAGAUGGUGAGUGUAAGUGUAUAAGGGAGCUUGACUGUGACACUGACGGGUGGAGCAGGUGCGAAAGCAGGGACUAGUGAUCCGGCAUCUACGUGUGGUUGUGGUGUCGCUCAACGGAUAAAAGGUACCCCGGGGAUAACAGGCUGAUCUUCCCCAAGAGUUCAUAUCGACGGGAUGGUUUGGCACCUCGAUGUCGGCUCGUCGCAUCCUGGGGCUGGAGUAGGUCCCA